AUUUCCUUUUUUUCGUUUAUAUUUUGCUUCAUCGAUAUGUUGCGUUUGGCGAACAGGCGCAGUCGCAAGCCUUAUCAUCUACUGUCUGCAGUCCAUCGUCGUCGUUUGGAAAAAUUAGAGAGAGCUGCGCAUAAUGAAUCAACAGCAGAAUUUAAAUUUUGCUAAUGUUAGAGUUGAUUCAGACUUCGUCGACAAAGGUCAAAUUCUUGCGGAAUGCAGUCAGAUAAAAAAAGAUAAAACUUUUGUAUCUUCUGAUGCAUCAGCUGAGGAUGUGCAAUUGCUUUUAAUGAUGAGGCAUUAAGUUCUUCAGAUGUUGCUGAAUCCAUUUUAGAUUGUAAUGAUGUGAUAGAUUUUGAGCCUCAAAAUACUAUUGAUAAUUUUCAAGAACGUCUUGCUGAAGUUUUCGUACGCAGUAAUAUGUCUCAUACGCAAAUAAAUGUUCUUUUACAGGUUGUCCGAACACAUUCUUGUUUAUCCACGUUGCCAAAGGAUUGUAGAACGUUUUUGAAAACUCCAAGGAUGGCGCAUCCCAUACUUAACAUUGCAGGAGGAGAAUAUCUCCAUUUAGGAUUUGAGGCAGGAAUUCUUUCCAUUCUUCAACAAACCUCUCCGGAACUAAUUCCACUUGAUACUUUGAUGGUAGACUUUAGCACUAAUGAUGCCAUACUGAAUAGACAGGGCAAAAUUCAAAUGUGGCCGAUACAAAUUAGGAUUGCAAAUAUUCCUCGAAGUAAACCUACAAUUGUAAGCGUUUGGCGAGAUUCAUCGAAACCAACUAACGCGGAGGAAUUAUUUCAAUUAUGGAUGAUUCUUUUAUGGAUGAAGUUCGAGAUAUAUUAAAUCGUGGAGGAAUUAUUUUUCAUAAUCAACAAAAACUGAUUAAAUUGAGGUGUUUUAUAGCUGAUUUUCCUGCGCGGGCUUUUGUUUUAUCAUGUUUUGUCAUAAAGGUCACGGUAAUCUAUUUCCGUGUUCGAAAUGUUGGAUUCGAGGAAGUUGGCUUCGUCAUGGAGUAGUUGCUUAUCGUGGUAUUCAAAAUAGACCUCGUAUAAAUGAAGAGUACAAACAUCACAUUGAUGGAGAACAUCAUACAGAUUUUGAUUCUGCUUUGUUUCCUUUAGGGAUGGGGUUGGUAACUCAAACAGUCUUCGACUACAUGCACAUAGUUUGUCUUGGUGUCGUUCCCAAAAUAAAUAGCGUUCUUGUCGAUGGUAAAUGUAAUCCAAAUUUAAAACUUUCAGUCAGAUCACUUGAAAUUAUGACGAAACGUUUGUAGCAAGUUAAAAAUUAUUGUCCUAAGGAAUUUUCGUGAAAACCGCAAUUAAUGAAAAAAUAUGGAGGAUUUAAGGCCACGGAAAAUCGUCAACUUCUUUUGUAUACUGCCGCAGUUAUUUAUUACGGACUCGUAAAACCUGUUGUGUACAAACAUUUUCUUCUAUUACAUUCCGCCAUUCGAGUUCUAGUCAGUUCUUCCUUAUCGUCUUGAUUUUGCACAAAUAACAUUAAACAUUUUUGUGAAUAGAGCAGAAGACAUAUAUGAUCCAGAAUUUCUUUCAUACAUUAUUCAUUGUUUUUACAUCUCGUAGAUGACGUGAGACGCUUUUGGCAUUAAAUGAAUUGUUUAUGUUUCCAUAUGAAAAUAAUAUGAUGUAUUUUCGCAAUGCUUGCCACAAACCUCAUCAACAUUUGCAGCAAAUCGUAAAUAGACGACAUCAAAAGAAAACACAAAAUAUUGUAAAUAUAACUGAGGAAGUGGUGCGCUCCAGUAGGCCCUGGAUUAGUCUUGUACUUUUUGAUGCUCCAUUAGAUAAUCGUCAGUUUCAAAUCUUAGAUACAGGAAAAUUUCGUUUAUCGGUGAAGGAUCAGGAUAACAUGAUAAUAUACAAAAUUCAAAGAUGAGUCAACGAGGACGAGGAAGAGGAAAAGAAGCGGACGAGACAUUCAAAACGUUGCAAUUGUUAGAUAAAGAUAUUGAAAAAUAUUCCACAUCUCAAAAAAGACACAUAUAAGGACAUAUAAACACACCCAAGACUACACAAAACCAGACAGCACCAUUAUCACAAUAUUCACAACAUUCACAAUCGUCACCAUUCUUAUAUGUUCCAUCAUUAUUAUCAUCAUCAUCAUCAUUAUGUAAAGAAUUAUAUAAACACAUGUCCUCUUCAUCAGCACCAAAACAUAAACUCAUCUUGUCACACUCGCCUUCAGUAGCCACUCAAUCAUUUGCACGAAACAUUCCUUCAACAACCUUCAAAACAACUACUACAACACAAACAAACAUUCACGCUCGCCUUUACCAUCCAAACAAUCAUUCACACAAAACAUUCAUUCAUCAUCAAAACCAUCACAUCAUAAACAAACAGCGCUAUUACAACAUAAACCCAUCUUAUCACAUUCACUUUCAGCCACUCAAUCAUUCACAUACAACAUUUAUCCAUCAUCAAAAAAACUACUAUUAUAACGCAGCAAACAUUAUCACGUUCGCCUUCACCAUCCAAACAAUCAUUCACACAAAACAUUCAUCCAUCAUCAAAUACAUCACAACAUAAACAAGUAGCAUCAGCAUCUGCAGAACGCAAUCGCUUAUCACCAAGUAGACAAAGACAUGAAGAAGACUGGACAAAAGAGGAAGGAACAUCCCAUGAUAUAAUGCGGUCUUUAAAAAUGAUUAUGGUUCAACUACGUCGUAUGGAAAAACGACAAAUUUUUAUUGAAAAUAAAAUCGAUAAAAAUGCGAAAAUCAUUAAACGAUUAUUGUGACAGUCUGUAAUAAAAAGAUCAGUGAAACCACCAGGAUUUAUUUACAACGAUAGACGAUUUCUUGGUCUUCGAAGAAGUUGAUGAUGAAAUUUAUAAUGAUUUGGUGGAAUACUUUAUUUACCUUGGACGGACCAAUCCAAUUGAUUGCGCUGCAGAAUAUUUUCGCAGUGUAUUUCCAGAAGAUGAAGAGAUUUCAUCACACCUUACCUUAAAUGAAAAAAGUGGAACAGGGGGAUAUAAACUGCGAGGCAGUCACUUCGCACAAGCAUAUCAAGAUGCCAUAAACUCUAACAAACAUUUCCUCAAUCCCAACAAUGUCGAAUUCCAUGAAGCGCUGGAAAAGAUUCUGAAAAGUCUCAAAACCAGGAAAUAAUAAAUUUAUAAUAAAAAACGACGUUAUAAUAAAAAACGACAAUUACAAAAUGAAGAAGUCCAAAACCCACCAAAUCGAUGCCGGCGAUUAGACAAUGAAGAUGUCUAUAUUUUUUCUUCUUACUAAUUGUACUAGUUCAGAAUUUACCUUCUUCCAAUGUGGAGGGAAAAAAAAUAAACUCUGAACCAAUGCCAGUUUAGUUAAAAAGAUUUAUGUACAGGAAACUACAGGAUUCAAAGACACGGAAACCGAACACAAAUUGAAGGAAAUGGAAAACACGGAGGAAACUGAGAAGACUGACGAAAUGAACAUUCAGCUCUUAGAGGACAACAUCAAGAGUACAUGAAUAAAGAGGAUACUGACGAAACCGAGGACAACAUGAACGACGACAAGAUUCAAAAGAUGGCACAGGACGAAAAUUUACCGAUACUACAAGAGAAGGAAGAAA